AAAAUUUCUGAGAGACACAGCUUUGAUCCCCACUCUGCACAUGAAAAAACGAAGGCAGAAAGAGACAAGAUUCCAAAGAUGACAGAGAAUAAAUACUCCUUGAUGCUAAGUUCUGGAAGAUACUGGGAGAAGAAGUUGAUGUCAUCAUGAUGUCAGGCUGAAGGGAAACAACCAGCCCUGUACAGCCAGAGUGCAGGGGACAGAAUGAGCAAUUCCAAAGCAUGGAGUACACAGGACUGGAGGAAGCAGGUGGAGGGAAGGAGGAAAGUCUUACCAAAUUCCAUGAGCAAAGCCACAGGAAACUUACCCUAGAGUAAAAGGCUACUGCCUAGCAGCAGCAUUGCUUCUGGCAGCAGCACUUACUCUGGCAGCACUUCUGCUGACAGCAGCCCUCCCCGCAGCCGCAGCCACAGCCGCAGGAGCCACAGCCACAGGAGCGGCGGCAGCAGCAGACCACGGGGACGCUGCAGCAGCCCCCACAGCAGCCACGGCAGCAGGGGCAGCAGCCAGAGCAGCAGCCGACCCGGUAGCAUCUACAGGUGGUGCAGCCACCGCAGCCACCACAGCCACCACCACAACCACCACAGCCACCACCGCAGCCGCCACAACCACCGCAGCCACCACAGCGGCCACCACAGCCACCACAGCGGCCACCACAGCCACAGCACCCCAUGGUAUCAGCAGAGAGGACUCAGGUGAAGUGAGGAGAGAGACUUAGGAGAUGAGAGACGUCUGAUACACUUUGCUUCGGGGGCCCUUAUAUACCCCCUUGGGGCCGAACUCAGGGCACGUGGCCACUUCCUGAUUGUAGUUCACCGGCUUUCCUUGGAGAAUUUCACAAGACCCUGAGUGUAUUUCCUCACGGACACCUCUGAGCUCACAGACUUGUUUAUUUUUGUACUUCUUCCUCAAGUUACUCUUCUAGUAAAACAUGUUUCUAAAAUGUU